rnacentral:rRNA from 1 species
GUAGGUGGCAAGCGUUGUCCGGAAUUAUUGGGCGUAAAGCGCGCGCAGGCGGUUCUUUAAGUCUGAUGUGAAAGCCCACGGCUCAACCGUGGAGGGUCAUUGGAAACUGGAGAACUUGAGUACAGAAGAGGAAAGCGGAAUUCCACGUGUAGCGGUGAAAUGCGUAGAGAUGUGGAGGAACACCAGUGGCGAAGGCGGCUUUCUGGUCUGUAACUGACGCUGAGGCGCGAAAGCGUGGGGGCAAACAGGGAUUAGAUACCCUGGUAGUCCACGCCGUAAACGAUGAGUGCUAAGUGUUAGGGGGUUUCCCGCCCCUUAGUGCUGCAGCUAACGCAUUAAGCACUCCGCCUGGGGAGUACGGCCGCAAGGCUG